UGUUACUGUUUGUGUAAUCCUGUUUACAGAUAAAGUGACAGAAGGACUAAUGGUUGGAAAAACCACAUCCUCAGAGGAUAUGAAAAUCAUCCUGCUCUUGUUGUCUUGGAAAACAGAACAAAAAGCAUUUCUAUUCCAAUUCACAGACAGGCAGGCAGGCAGACAGAUCUGACGUCUCCAGAUGUGUCGCGCUGUUUUAAGGGCCAACACUGACCUCUUGUGGUCCCACAAGCAGACUGGUUAUGUCGCCAUGCAGCAAAAAAACACCAUUUGUACAGUACCUUGAACACAACAGUGGGAAUGUGCUGUAAUGAGUGGAGCCGCUGUGGAUGCUUGCAAAAAAAAGCAGUUCUACGUCAACCUGGGCGAGUUUUGCCGAUAUGCUUUCAGCCGUGAGGUGCAUGCUGUCCAAACUGGUCUCCCCGCUGUGGAGUAAAGCACAGGCGGAGGCUAACGGCGGUGCUGCGGACUCGCAGACCAUCCGCCACCUCCCUGACGGCGUGGUGACCCAGCUGGGCCUGGACCACGGCCUCAUCGACGAUGCCAUCUACUUCACGAGUGGCGUGGUGCUGGGUGGGGUACCUCUCAAAGUAGGGGACAUGGUGAGCUGCAUUGCCGUGGCAGAUGGCGCCCAAGGCGGAUGGAGAGCCCUCAGGGUGGUGAAGAGUUCUGAUGCAUGGGAGGCUGAAGGAGGGACGUCUUUCGAGGACGAGUGCGCUCAGCUACGCCCUCUAAUUGGCACCGUCACGUCGUUUGACGGCGAGGGCGGCUACAUCAACCAGAACACUUACUUCCUACGCUCCAGUCUAUGUGAAGGUUACGAGCCAGUGACAGGAGACUGGGUCCAAGCAAAAUAUUUUAUCAAUCCCAACCAGUGGACCACCCAGGCUCAAUCUGUUGCCCCGUUGCGCUAUUGCCGUCUUAAUCAGGUGUGUGUGACCAGCAUGUACGCUAACAAGGGAGUGGUGGAGGACAGCGUGUUCUUCUGCCUGGACUCUCUGCUGCUGCCUGCCUACUACAAGCCCUCACCGGGCCAUGUUGUCAACUUGGUGAUGAUGGAAAGCAACCAGUCCUUCUACCGGUGGAGGGCUCUGUGCAUGGCGCCAAGCACUCAGGGUUGGAAACCAACCCUGACACACAUGCCCACAGCUGCACUGGAGACCUUACUGGAAAACAAAGGAGGGUUGGAUGUAACUUGCUAUGGCCAGUUUGGAGAUUUGAUGGUGGGAGAGCACAGGAAGCUGGUGCUAUGGAUACAGAACAAAGGUUCAGAGACACACCGGCUCAAGUGCUGCGAAUUUGCCGGCUGGGACUCGGAACAACAGUUCUUUCUGAAUCCACUCAAGAUGGGACCAAAAGAAAAACCCAGAUCCGACUCUGGUCCCAUUGUUGUGGAAGAACGAGGAAGUCAAGCUGAAGAGGCAGAUGGCAAGGAGACAAAGCCCUCUCUCAGUGUGAGGAGAGAAGAAAGAGAGGCAGAGCUUCCUCCAGGAGAGCGACUGUCUAUUGUAGUGGGGUGCCAAGCAAAGAGCCUGGGAAGCUGUGCCGAGCUGCUGUUGCUGCACUUCUCCUCAUUUGUCAUCGGGAGGCGCCUGGAAGUGACUGUGUGCAGCAAGGACGAGAGUCUGCUGUGGCCUUGUGCGCCCUACAGUCCCGCCGAUGCCAAGCCCAUCCCGGCGGCGCCUUCUCACGUGAUCACCCUCACUGCUCACCAUUCCACCCUUAACAGGCUUCCUAACCGCCGUCUGCCGUGCUUUCUGCCUUAUUAUGUGGUGCCGCAGCCUUUAAGAGACUGUGUGGCUGGGCAGAAGGACGUCUUGGUCGUCCAGCCCUGCUUAGGAGAGGUGCUGUCAGCCUCCAACGCGCAGGCCCGUUUCUCUACUCUGCUGUGGAUGGAGGAGCUUCAUGCUGAGAGAGAACUAGGAGAGUUCACCAUUCAAGGAGCGCAACUCAGGAAAGGAGCUGCCUACCUUCACCUGGAGGUCCUUUGCUUGACUGAGGGGAGGCCCAAUCUCAAUAUAGGUGACAGAAUUGUACUGAAGAGUCCACAGAGUGACGGCAUUAUGAUGGAGUAUAUUAGCUAUGUUGCUGAGAUCAAUGACGAGGAUGUGAGUCUGAAAGUCAACCCAGCAUUUCAUCGGAGCUACCUUGGCGAGCCUCUCGAUGUGGAGUUCUCUUACAACAGGUUAACCAUGAGGCGCUGUCACCACGCAGUUGAGCAGAUCAAAUCCUUCAUGGAGAUUUUCUUCCCCUCCAAAGUUACUACUCAGACCCCUCUGUGGACAGUGAAGUGGUUAGAUGAAGAUGACCAAAACAAAACGCUGGAUGGAUAUGAGCAGGCCUCAGCAAAGGAAAAUUGCCAGAUACCAAACGUUUCAGUCGACAUGGACUCAAAAGCCACACAAACUAAAGAUGGCACCGUGUCACUAAACCACACCCCCAGCCCGGGCCAUUUCUUCAACCGUGACCUCAACCCUGCUCAGAAGGAGGCCGUGAAGAGAAUCCUGGCUGGAGAGUGUCGGCCCACCCCUUACGUGCUAUUUGGACCCCCUGGCACUGGGAAGACCAUCACCCUCAUAGAGGCCAUACUACAGGUGUACCACUUUCUUCCCAGCAGCCGUGUCCUCGUGUGCACGCCCUCCAACAGUGCGGCCGACCUCAUCUGCGUCCGCCUGCACGAUAGCGGCCUCAUGCACACUGCAAGCAUGGCCCGUGUCAAUGCUUCUUACAGACAGGAGAAGUGCAUCCCCGAGGUGCUGAGGCCGUACUCGAAGGCUGGCGAGGACCUCAGUCAUGCCUCUUUCCACCGCAUAGUGGUCAGCACCUGCUCCAGCGCUGGCCUGUUCUACAAUUUAGGACUCCAAGUCGGACAUUUUACUCACGUGUUCCUGGAUGAGGCAGGCCAGGCAACAGAACCAGAAUCUAUGAUUCCGAUCAGCUUCAUCUCAGAAAGUGAUGGGCAGGCUCAGAUAGUGUUGGCCGGAGACCCGUGCCAGCUGGGGCCGAUCGUAAAGUCCCGGAUGGCCUCCGCCUUCGGCUUGGGCUUGUCCCUGCUGGAGAGGCUCAUGGCCAAUUCGCUUUAUGGCAAACAGGAGUGGGGCUAUAACCCAAAGCUGGUGACAAAGCUGAUCUACAACUACCGUUCCCACGAGGCUUUGCUCACGUUGCCCUCUAAGCUAUUCUACCACGGAGAACUGUGCGUCAAAGCCCCUAAAGCUGUCGUGGAGUCCCUCUCUCAGUGGAAAACUCUACCUAAAAAGGGCUUUCCUCUUCUCUUUCAUGGCAUCAGGGGCAAAGAAAUGAGGGAAGGUAACAACCCGUCGUGGUUCAACCCAGUGGAGGCGGUGCAGGUCAUGUUGUACUGCUGCCAGCUGACCAAGAAACUUUACAACCCUGUGGAUGCCUCCCAGAUUGGAAUCAUUUCCCCCUACAGGAAACAAAGUGAGAAGAUCCGCGUCCUUCUGGGUAAAGUGGGCCUGUCCGACAUCAAAGUGGGCUCCGUGGAAGAGUUCCAAGGACAAGAAUUCCUGGUCAUCAUCAUGUCAACAGUAUGCCGAAACCACCAGCAUUGCGGUGCGCUCCAACGAAUCAGCAUUGAGUGACGAUUUGCAGAGUGUGCUGGGCUUUCUGACCAACCCCAAGCGCUUCAACGUGGCCAUUACGCGCUCCAAAGCAUUGCUGCUCAUCAUUGGAAACCCCCAUGUUCUCAUUAGGGAUACAUGCUACAGGGCACUGAUUCACUAUUGCUUCACCAACGGGGCAUAUCUGGGCUGCGACCCCCCCUCCCUACAUUAGAGACUCUCAGAUGUAAGCGUGUUCCAUCCUCUUAGAUUCCACAUGAUUACUAUUAUAAUAAUAGGGAUACAUGUCACUAUUUAUAGUAAACUGUACAACCUUAAACAUACCCACACACACAGGCUUAACAUACAAUGAGUAACAAGGCCACACUGAAAAAAAAAUAAAAGUUGAAUUAUGGGAAAAUAAAUGUACAGUAUUUUAUGAGUAAAGCUCAAAGCUCAAAUUAUACAGAAACUUUUUAUGAGAAUUAAUUGAAUUUAAUUCACAAUUUUUGCCGAAAUGACUGAAAAGAAGUCCCACAUAAGACUCAGGAGAUCACUUCUCUGCCCUUAAGUACAGUGGACCCCUGCUACCCGGAGGGGAUAGGGACCGGACCUGACCGGGAAAAGCAAAAUCUGCGAAUAAUUGAUGCCUAUUAUAAUAGCCAUUAAAAUAGAUAGAUACAUACAUAGAAUUUGAGGAAAAAAAUCCAGAAAACUGUCAAUAAGCAGAGCAUCAUAAAUCUGGGUAUAAUUGAAUAUUUUGCAUAUUACAACUUAAUACUACAAAAUGUUUGCAUUUUUUCUUGCAACAUUCUUGUGGUGCUUUUUUUUCACCACGCUGGCACUUUUCUGUUAAUAUUAUGACUUGUGAUAGAUAAAGCUACUUUUCUUGUAACAUCACAACUUGUUGAUGUAAAAAUACAACUUUUAACUUGUGCAACAACCUUUUAGUUCAACUUGUUUUUCUCUCAAUGUGGCUCUAUUCUCGUGAAAAUGAGACAUUCUAAAAAUACGACUUGUCAAAGUUCUUAUCAUUGAACCUUUAUACUGCUGAAGUAAUUGUCUAGCUGAACAUUCAUACAUUUCAUGUUAUUGUGGUUACAGUCUGCACACUUGUUUCUGAAAGUAUAUAAGGGUCAAGAAGAAAUACUACACAAGAUUAAAGCCAUUUUACAUUUGCUUGUUUGUACAUUACAAGUCUUAAUAUUAAAAGAAUACAGCUUUUUUUCAAGUAUACAACUUAGUUCUCACAAGUUUACAAAUUAAUCAUAGUCAUUUAAAAAAAAUAUUAUUUGUAUCUAUCAACAGUGUGGCCCUAAUGGGCCUUGUAGUUGUCUGCAGCUCUAGAGCUCCAUUUUCCAGAGCUGCAUUGAAUCACAGUGCUGCAUGACACACGUUCCUGCAGUCGGCUACUAAAUUAAGUUCCUCUUUCUGUUUCCUUGUUUGCCAAGUGAGUGAUCAACAUUAACUCUAAUACUGCUUUGCUUUUCUGUGAGAGAGCAAUGGAUGAUCGGCGGCUACAAAUAAAGAUAUGCCAUCUGUUAAUGA